UGGGGAAUUUUGGACAAUGGGGGAAACCCUGAUCCAGCCAUCCCGCGUGUGCGAUGAAGGCCUUCGGGUUGUAAAGCACUUUUGGCAGGAAAGAAACGUCAUGGGUUAAUACCCCGUGAAACUGACGGUACCUGCAGAAUAAGCACCGGCUAACUACGUGCCAGCAGCCGCGGUAAUACGUAGGGUGCAAGCGUUAAUCGGAAUUACUGGGCGUAAAGCGUGCGCAGGCGGUUCGGACAGAAAGAUGUGAAAUCCCAGAGCUCAACUUUGGAACUGCAUUUUUAACUACCGGGCUAGGGUGUGUCAGAGGGAGGUGGAAUUCCGCGUGUAGCAGUGAAAUGCGUAGAUAUGCGGAGGAACACCGAUGGCGAAGGCAGCCUCCUGGGAUAACACUGACGCUCAUGCACGAAAGCGUGGGGAGCAAACAGG
rnacentral:rRNA from 1 species